UUGGAGGGCAAGUCUGGUGCCAGCAGCCGCGGUAAUUCCAGCUCCAAUAGCGUAUAUUAAAGUUGCUGCAGUUAAAAAGCUCGUAGUUGAAUUUCGGGACCAUCAUGUCGGUCGUGCCUCGGUACGUACUGGUAUUGUUGGUUUCUCCCUUCUGACGAACCAUGAUGUCAUUUAUUUGGUGUUGUGGGAAAUCAGGACUGUUACUUUGAAAAAAUUAGAGUGUUUAAAGCAGGCCCACGCUUGAAUACAUUAGCAUGGAAUAAUGAAAUAGGACGUUUGAUUCUAUUUUGUUGGUUUCUAGGAUCGACGUAAUGAUUAAUAGGGAUAGUUGGGGGCAUUAGUAUUCAAUUGUCAGAGGUGAAAUUCUUGGAUUUAUUGAAGACUAACUACUGCGAAAGCAUUUGCCAAGGAUGUUUUCAUUAAUCAAGAACGAAAGUUAGGGGAUCGAAGACGAUCAGAUACCGUCGUAGUCUUAACCAUAAACUAUGCCGACUAGGGAUCGGAUGAUGUUAAUUUUUUAAUGACUCAUUCGGCGCCUUACGGGAAAC
rnacentral:rRNA from 1 species